AGAGUUUGAUCCUGGCUCAGAAUCAACGCUGGCGGCGUGCCUAACACAUGCAAGUCGCACGAGAAAGUGGAGCAAUCCAUGAGUAAAGUGGCGCACGGGUGAGUAACACGUGAAUUAUCUACCUCCGAGUGGGGAAUAACUGAGAGAAAUCUUAGCUAAUACCGCAUAACACUUACGAGUCAAAGCAGCAAUGCGCUUGGAGAGGAGUUCGCGGCCGAUUAGUUAGUUGGCGGGGUAAUGGCCCACCAAGACGAUGAUCGGUAUCCGGCCUGAGAGGGCGCACGGACACACUGGAACUGAAACACGGUCCAGACUCCUACGGGAGGCAGCAGUGGGGAAUUUUGCGCAAUGGGGGAAACCCUGACGCAGCAACGCCGCGUGGAGGAUGAAAUAUCUUGGUAUGUAAACUCCUUUCGAUGGGGAAGAUUAUGACGGUACCCAUAGAAGAAGCCCCGGCUAACUUCGUGCCAGCAGCCGCGGUAAUACGAGGGGGGCAAGCGUUGUUCGGAUUUAUUGGGCGUAAAGGGUGCGUAGGCGGUUUGGCAAGUCUGAUGUGAAAUCUAUGGGCUCAACCCAUAGUCUGCAUCAGAAACUGCCGGGCUUGAGUAUGGGAGAGGUGAGUGGAAUUUCCGGUGUAGCGGUGAAAUGCGUAGAUAUCGGAAGGAACACCUGUGGCGAAAGCGGCUCACUGGACCAUAACUGACGCUGAUGCACGAAAGCUAGGGGAGCAAACAGGAUUAGAUACCCUAGUAGUCC
rnacentral:rRNA from 1 species